rnacentral:rRNA from 1 species
UACGUAGGGUGCAAGCGUUGUCCGGAAUUAUUGGGCGUAAAGAGCUCGUAGGCGGUCUGUUGCGUCGGCUGUGAAACCGGGGCUCAACCCCGGGCCUGCAGCCGAUACGGGCAGACUAGAGUUCGGCAGGGGAGACUGGAAUUCCUGGUGUAGCGGUGAAAUGCGCAGAUAUCAGGAGGAACACCGGUGGCGAAGGCGCCCACCUGGCCUGCUACUGACGCUGAAGCUCGAAAGCUAGGGGAGCAAACGGG